AACGAACGCUGGCGGCAUGCCUAACACAUGCAAGUCGAACGAGACCUUCGGUUCUUGUGUCGCACGCGUGCGUAACGCGUGUGAACCUGCCCUUAUUUUCUGAAUACCUCCCCGAAAGGGUUGCUCUUACCGGAUAAUGUCUUCUACCCAAAGAUUUAUCGCCCUUGGAUGGGCCCGCGUUUGAUUAGCUAGUUGGUAGGGUAAAAGCCUACCAAGGCGACGAUCCCUAGCUGGGCUGAGAGGAUGAUCAGCCACACUGGGACUGAGACACGGCCCAGACUCCUACGGGAGGCAGCAGUGGGGAAUAUUGGACAAUGGGCGAAAGCCUGAUCCAGCAAUGCCGCGUGAGUGAUGAAGGCCUUAGGGUUGUAAAGCUCUUUUACCCGGGAUGAUAAAGACAGUACCGGGAGAAUAAGCGCCGGCUAACUCCGUG
rnacentral:rRNA from 1 species